ensembl:lncRNA
GCUCCUCAGCUGCUGAAUAUUUGCAGCUUGACAUUGCAGCUUAAGCAGAAGAAGUGAAGUUUUGCCAGAAUGGAUCUUAAAUUAGGAGAUAACAUGAAGAUAAAUGCUUCCUUGGCACUGCUCCUCCAAUUCCACCAGUUGUGUGCACGCUUUCUGCUCUGUAGCCAGCAGCCCUGAGUGCUGUUUUGCUUUUAGACGCACGGCUCUGAAAGAAAAGAGGAUGAACCGCUGGCUUUCAUCCUAACAAAAAGAGGGAGGAAAGAGAGAAAGUGCUGUUUAUUGCCUUAGAGGAAGACGAGCAGAGGGGUGCGGUGGCUGGGUGGGCUGCCUUCCUGGAUGCACAGCAGCUUUCACACAUUGCUACUACGCUGCCUAGAAGUUGGGCAGCUCUUAUUUUCUUUAAAAAGUAACAAAAACUGAAACAACAACAACAACAAAAGGAAAAGUUCUGACUUGAAGGAAACCAGGAAGCUCUUUCUACCAGGAACCAGAGGCUGGGUGCUGCUAUGCAGCCUACCCCAAGCCCCCCCGGCCCAGCUGCGGCCUAUCUGCCGCAAGCAUCACAGCGGUGGCCGUUUGCCCAGAAAUGGAGUCAGCAGCCGGAGCCCUCUGACGGAAGGAAGCCACAGCCAGCCCCAGCUAGUCUGCAGGGACACAGGUCCCCCCCAGCACUGGGGGAGGAAAGCAGGAAAGCAGAGCCUGUCAACAUCAACUUCGUGGCUGUUUUGUUAGAUAUUGUUGGUGUUUCUCCAGAGGAUGUCUCAGCAACUGGCAGACACCAAGGGGUGAGCAACCUCUGGAAGGGCAGUCAUCCUCUGGAUGGUGUCAGAACAGUGAUGGGUCUUAAUGGAAAUCCUUCUAGAUUCACUGAUGCCUUGAGUUGAGGUGUCAUUUGUUCACCCCUUAAACCUUCAGGCUAGGUGAAUUGUCAGUUUAUAGAGGACCUCUGCAGUUCUCUUGGUCAGGCUUGUGUGCUGCAAACACAAAGAGUCAAAGGGGUUUCAGAGAAAUCUUGGUUCCCCUGCAAGCAGCUGCCAGCCAUGGGAGUGUUCUCUUCUUCCCAAGGUCCAUUUGGAGAUGCAUUCCUAGGAGAUGCAGUGGGCCCCUUUGAGAUGUGGCCUGCUGCCAGGGGGCAUGGCACGCUCCCGGGUUCUGCCAUCUGGGCGACAGUAUUGACUUCACUCUGUGAUGGUAAUGGCUCUCUGAUGGAGACAGCAAGUCUGGGAGCAUUCUUCUUUGGAUUGGUGUUGUUUGGCCAUGAUGCCUCAUAUAGACACAGCUCCUAAGUGAGGCCUCAUUCUUGCAAAUAUUUAUGCCCGUGAGUAAUUUCAAGAGCAUUAGUAAUGAGUGGAGUGGGUUGACUACUGGGUUCAUAGCACACACUGUGAAAAGCAAUCAUUUUGCAAGAGGGGUUUGGGUAUAUGCUUAAAUGUCUUUUGAAGUAAGAAUGGACUUAAGUAAGUGCUUAAGUUCUUUUCAGAAGUGAGGGAUGAGAAUUUCCCUACUGUCUGCCUUUCAUUUUAUUUGCUGCCUGCAGACAGAUAUUUUGUGAGCAUUGCCCAGACUCUCAGUGUAAAAUUAAUGUCUGAAUGAUUUGAUAUCUGAUUGUAUUUGCAGUUAUUUCUCCCUCUAAAUAUAAUAAAAACCAUUACAACCAUUACUCUCUUUUACA